rnacentral:tRNA from 2 species
GGUGAGGUACCCAAGUGGCCAAAGGGAUCAGACUGUAAAUCUGCCGGCUCUGCCUUCGAAGGUUCGAAUCCUUCCCUCACCACCA